GCAAAGAUAAUACUUAACCUGACCAUGAAAGAGGUUUUCCCAGGGUGAGGCUCAUCCAUUGCACUGCAGGUGUGCUGCCCCCUGUGAUUUCCCCAAAUGCGGGAAACUCAACUGC
ensembl:snRNA U1 U1 spliceosomal RNA